GGCCCUACGGGGCGCAGCAGGCGCGAGAACUUUACAAUGCGGGAAACCGUGAUAAGGGGACACCGAGUGCCAGCAUCAUAUGCUGGCUGUCCAGAUGUGUAAAAUACAUCUGUUAGCAAGGGCCGGGCAAGACCGGUGCCAGCCGCCGCGGUAACACCGGCGGCCCGAGUGGUGAUCGUGAUUAUUGGGUCUAAAGGGUCCGUAGCCGGUUUGGUCAGUCCUCCGGGAAAUCUGAUGGCUCAACCAUUAGGCUUUCGGGGGAUACUGCCAGGCUUGGAACCGGGAGAGGUAAGAGGUACUACAGGGGUAGGAGUGAAAUCUUGUAAUCCCUGUGAGACCACCUGUGGCGAAGGCGUCUUACCAGAACGGGUUCGACGGUGAGGGACGAAAGCUGGGGGCACGAACCGGAUUAGAUACCCGGGUAGUCCCAGCCGUAAACGAUGCUCGCUAGGUGUCAGGCAUGGCGCGACCGUGUCUGGUGCCGCAGGGAAGCCGUGAAGCGAGCCACCUGGGAAGUACGGCCGCAAGGCUGAAACUUAAAGGAAUUGGCGGGGGAGCACAACAACGGGUGGAGCCUGCGGUUUAAUUGGACUCAACGCCGGACAACUCACCGGGGACGACAGCAAUAUGUAGGCCAG
rnacentral:rRNA from 1 species